ACUCAGCCUCACCCACGAGGAACUUAAUUUGUUAAUUAGUUCAAUCAGGUUUUAGAUAAGUUAAAACAAAAAAUGUGAUGUGGGAUCACCAGCACUGGUAUAGGAACCCAUGAAUUAAACAAAGUCAUUACUAAUUUGCUUACCCCCUUACAGAUCGGGCUACGUGAUUCAUCUCCUGUUGUGCUGACACACACAUGCAGUUCAUGUGUUGCAGGCACUGCCCUAUGCAACCACAUAGUGGCUUUGCUUUUUCAAACUGCACAUUUCUCUCAGCUCAGUGUGCCAGUAGUUCCUCCUGUGCACAGCUGUACUGAAACUGAACAGCGCUGGCACAAACCUCGGACAAUUGGUGUAAAGCCAGGACCAAUCAACAACAUGAUCACCUGUGCCAAAUCAAAAGUCUCAAGGCGUAGUUAGGAGUGGACUCUACAGGGGCAUGGUGGGCCCUUUACCGGAUCCAUGCAUGUUUAGAGUGGCAGAGGCUUAUGAAAAAUUCAGCCUUGAAGACAAGCCGCUGGUGACCACCAUGGGCAUGGACCUCAACAAGCCAGCUGUGCA